AUAAAAUAAUAAUAAUAAUAAUAAUCAUACAAAGACCAUACUAAUAACAACAACACAAGAUUUUGCGGAAAUCUGCUAUUUUCACGCAGCGACUUCCGCCCGAUACAAGCGAAGUGUAUCGGGGAGUGCAUGACAUUCGGAAACGUGGAGGAAGCCGGCGGCACGCGACAGCCAUCCUCCUUUGUCGUUUGUCACGUUUUGUGCGCGUAUGCAAAACAAGAAAGCGAACAAACUUAUUCUCCGUAAAACGGUUUCAGUGUUUGGCCCUGACUUUUUCUGAUUCGAUCUACGAUUCUUCAAUUAUUUCGCUCCCAGUGACCAACACUGUUUGUUCUUCCGUUAUUUCAUCGUGAGUCAACAAAAAUUGAAGUGAAACAAAAGCAGCUUUUUCACACGGCCCAUCCAAAAAUCGUUGGGAACAUUGAAUAUUGAAAAAAAUCGAGCUUGGAGAGAGUUCACGGGAUUACGAUCGCUGCACUUUCGUUUCGAAUGACUGACGUUUGUUACAAAAAUAAAUGAAAUAAAAAAAUAGUGAAACCGAGAA
rnacentral:lncRNA from 1 species